rnacentral:rRNA from 1 species
AUGGUGGCACAGAAUCGGAGGCCCCGACUGUUUACUAAAAACACAACACAGUGCAAUCAUUAAUAUGGUAGUAUACUGUGUGAAAUUUGCCCAAUGCCAUUAAUAUAAAAGCGGUCAUAGGAAACUGUGACUAAUUGAAAAUCUGGUUAAUAGCGGUCUUAACCAUGAGGAUCCUAAGGUAGCAAAAUAAAUUGGCCAUUAAAUGUGGUCCGGUAUCAAUAAUGUAACGAUGGCCUCACUGUCUCUACAACUUGCUCAGUNNNNNNGAAUUACGCGUGCAGAUGCGCGUUACCUCCAGGUGGACGGGAAGACCCUAUGCAGCUUCUA